CCUACGGGUGGCAGCAGUGGGGAAUAUUGGACAAUGGGCGAAAGCCUGAUCCAGCCAUGCCGCGUGUGUGAAGAAGGCCUUCGGGUUGUAAAGCACUUUCAGUGGGGAAGAAAGCCUUGGGGCUAAUACCCUCGAGGAAGGACAUCACCCACAGAAGAAGCACCGGCUAACUCCGUGCCAGCAGCCGCGGUAAUACGGAGGGUGCGAGCGUUAAUCGGAAUUACUGGGCGUAAAGCGCGCGUAGGCGGUCUGAUAAGCCGGUUGUGAAAGCCCCGGGCUCAACCUGGGAACGGCAUCCGGAACUGUCAGGCUAGAGUGCAGGAGAGGAAGGUAGAAUCCCCGGUGUAGCGGUGAAAUGCGUAGAGAUCGGGAGGAAUACCAGUGGCGAAGGCGGCCUUCUGGACUGACACUGACGCUGAGGUGCGAAAGCGUGGGUAGCAAACAGGAUUAGAUACCCGUGUAGUC
rnacentral:rRNA from 1 species